rnacentral:lncRNA from 1 species
GCGGCCGCCCAGCGCCCGUCCCCGCGCCGCACUCCCCGGCACUCCCCGGCGCUCCCCGCGCCGCGCGCCCCGCACCGGCUGGAGGCCCCGGCCCCCCGGCGUUCCCUCUCCGCGCACCUCCCGGCCCGCGCUAGGUAGCAGGCAAGAGUGUGGUUAUCGUUGGACCAGGAUUCAGGAUCUGACUGAGUAGCUGACUCUUAAUCCAGUUUGUGUUGAUCACCAGGAGGAUCUGGACCUCAGUAUUACCACAUCUAGAGCUAUAAUCACAUCCCUGUUAAGCCUUCCUGAGAUCACACCAAAUGUCCUUGAUGGGAAUUGUAAACAACCCUUACUUCUGGUUUCUAAUGAUAUUCCAGGAAAGGAGCCUAACUAGAGUCAGUGAUAUGCCAACUCCACCUUUGCCUUCCACCAUGUUUGGAAGCUCCCUGAGGCCUCACCAGGAGCAGAUGCUCGUCCCAUGCUUCCUAUAAGCCUGCAGAACUGGAAAAGAAAGCUGGAUAAAGUAUUUAUAGAAGAUAGAGGACCUGUGGUGGCUCAUGCCUGUAAUCCAAGGUGGAAGGAUUGCUUGAGGCCAGAAGUUCAAGACCAGUCCAAGCAACAUAGCAAGGCCCCAUCUCUACAAAAAAUGAAAAUAAAAUUAGCCGAGCGUGAUGGCUCAUGCCUGUAGUUCUAGCUUCUAGAGAGGCUGAGGCAGGAGGAUUGCUUGAGUCCAGGAGUUCAAGAUUACAGUGAGCUAUGGUCACACCACUGCACUCCAGCCUGGGUGAUGGAGUGAGACUGUCUCAAUAAAAAGACAAAAAGGCUGGCCAGGGGCAGUGGUUCAUGCCUGUAAACCCAGCACUUUGGGAGGCAAAGGCAGGAGGAUUGCUUAAGCCCAGGAAUUUGAGAUCAGCCUGGACAACAUGGUGAGACCCCCAUCUCUACAAAAAUUUUUUUUAAAAGUUACCCAGGCAUGGUGUUGCACAUCUGUGUUCCCAGCUACUGGGGAGGCUGAGACGGGAGGAUCACUUGAGUCCAGGAAGUUGAGAGGUUGAGGCUGCUGUGAGCUGUGAUUGUGCCACUGCACUUUAGCCUGGACAACAGAGGGAGACCCUGUCAACAACAACAACAACAACAAAAAAGCAAAACAUCAUAGGCUGCAGAAAUAAACUUUCUUGUCAAUUGUGUCUUUAACCAUGACCAUUUUGAGUCAUUUCCACAGUGAGUUGCCUAAUUUUGAUGCAUUUCUGAAAACUCUUUAUAAGCAAGUAAAAUCCUAGAGAAUUGUGCCUUCAAGGAGACUCAUGGAAAGGAUGGAAAGAACUCUUGAAUACAUGUUUCUGAUAGCUUUAUGAUCAUAUCAUUUGGACUGGGUAAGAAUUCCCAGAACUCAUGAAGAGACUGACUAUUUAUUAAUCCAAGCAGGAAAAGAAUUAAUUGAAUACCAAGGAAAUACUGUGCCAGAGAUUUUCAUGCUAAAUCAGUCAGCACCGAAAUCGUUAAGAUGUGUAGUUUGAAUGAACUCCAUGAUCCUAGUCAAAUUUCCUAUGAUGACCCAUUUAAUAAACAGUGCUAUGCACCUGAAUUGGAGAAACAGAAUUGAUACUUAAAUCCAAUGUUAAUCAUAGAUUCAUGGAAAGCCUAAAUGGCUGCUUGGGUCUUCCUGAGCCCUUAAAGCUUCCAUUAUUAAAGGCUCUGCACUUUAUAAGUUAUCACUGAAGAGAGAAAAUGAUCCAGAUUUAAAAUACACAUAUUGGUGUGGUGAAUGUUCUAAAUUGCGAAAAUGGUUUAUGACCAACAUUUGGUUUGUCAUGCUCACAAUCCUGGAAAUACAUUCAAAACUUCAGGUACAUUUCUGCUACCUGAUGGGCUAUUUGAAUAUAUAGAGAGGGAUUUCAUUCAAUUGCCAUUUUCAUUGCAUGUUUUUUGGUUGUAUAGAAGCUUUCCCAUGCAAGGAGGCUGAUGCUGUUAUUACAGUAGCUAAAAGGUUAGUAGGAAAUGUGUUUUCCCCCAUGGGGCAUUCCUGGAGAAAUCUCUAGCAAUAAAGGUACUUGUUUGACUGGACAAGUUGUAAAACAGUUUAAUAAGGUUUUUUUUAGGUGUCAUAGCAUUAGGCAAAGCUAACUGAAUUGACUGGAUUGUCAUAGUCAAACAUAUUGCAGAUCCGCUUCCAAUAGAAGACAAUGAAAUAGUCACUGGAAAGCCUGUGCUCCUAAUUUUAGAACCUCAUGUAUCUUCUGCUCCUAAACUCUGAUAGGACUAAAUGCUGUGAGGCCUCAAUGCAUUAUGUUAAUGUGUAUUUUCACCAGGUCAAGGAAGCUUUUCCUGAUCCACUAACUAAGGACAAUCAAACCCUUCAUGAUCUAGAAUCUGGAGACUGUGUCUUCUGGGAAUAGUAUCAGAGAAAGACUGCCCUUACUGCCCACAUGUAGCAAAACUUUGAGACGUUGAAUUAUGGGUCCAUAAUCUCACAACUCAGAGGGGCACCUCUAGACUCUUGGAACUGUAUAUCUAUUGGAGACUUUAAGGUAAAGCUGAACAGAGAGACGUUUUUCUCCAGAAGCAGACAGCACCAUAGUCAUGGACAGCUUUCCCAAGAUCACAGAUCAAGACUUCUCUGCCGUCAUGAGACUCAUAACCUCUUAAUUUUUUCUUGCUUAUGCUUCUGUGAACAAUAGAAUUGGAAAAGGGGUGGUCCCGCGUGCACCCAUAGGGUAUACUUUUAUUUGUGGAGGAUUUUGCUGCCAACCUUAUACAUGGGCAAACUUAUGCCUUCAUGGAUGGAAGAUAAAGGGCUAAUAUGGGUUAGAAAUUUUAAUGGUACCUUUGUUUCUCCAUAAUCAUUCAGAAACAGAACACUGGUCCACUCUUGUUAACCUACAUCAUAGGUUGAAGAGAACAUUGCCAGGAGGCCUUCAUCCUUCCAGAUGGGCACCAUUUGUUGGGUCUUUUUCCGUGGUAUGAAGAAAAUGAAGCAAUGAUUAGAAAUUGGUCCCUCGGCCGGGCACAAUGGCUCAUGCCUGUAAUCCCAUCACUUUGGCAGGCCGAGGCGGGUGGAUCACCUGAGGUCAGGAGUUUGAGACCAGCCUGACCAAUGUGGUGAAACGCCAUCUCUACUAAAAAUACAAAAAUUAGCUGGGUGUGAUGGUGCACACCUGUAAUCCAGCUACUCGGGAGGCUGAGACAGGAGAAUUGCUUGAACCUGGGAGGCAGAGGUUGCAGUGAGCCAAGAUCACCCCACUGCAUUCCAGGUUGGGCAACAGAGCAAGACUCUGUCUCAAAAAAAAAAGAAGAAAGAAAGAAAUUGAUCCCUCAUAAUAGGCUGUAUAGCAGAUUCUACUGCAAAGGCUAUGGUUGCACAACAGACUUCUUUGAAUUUGCUUGCUAAACUUUUACUGGAUAAUACUGGGAUUACAGGUGUGAGCCACUGUGCCCAGCCUCUCCUGUUUAACUGUAUUCAUUCUAAUGUUUACUUACUUCUUUAAUUUGUAAAAUUGGGUCACUUAGAGUUUUUUUAGCCUAUCUUGCCAUUUAGCCACUGUUACUGAUAAUUUGGAUGGAAAAGAAAAAUAAAUUAUAUCACCUCUCA